rnacentral:rRNA from 1 species
AUUGAACGCUGGCGGCAGGCCUAACACAUGCAAGUCGAGCGGAUGAAGGGAGCUUGCUCCUGGAGUCAGCGGCGGACGGGUGAGUAAUGCCUAGGAAUCUGCCUGGUAGUGGGGGAUAACGUCCGGAGACGGGCGCUAAUACCGCAUACGUCCUGAGGGUGAAAGUGGGGGGUCUUCGGACCUCACGCUAUCAGAUGAGCCUAGGUGGGAUUAGCUAGUUGGUGGGGUAAGGGCCUACCAAGCCGACGAUCCGUAACUGGUCUGCGAGGCUGAUCAGUCACAUGGGAGCGGAGACACGGUCCAGGCUCCUACGGGAGGCAGCAGUGGGGAAUAUUGGACAAUGGGCGAAAGUCUGACCCAGCCAGGCCGCGUGUGUGAAGAAGGUCUUCGGAGUGUAAAGCACUUUAAGUUGGGAGGAAGGGCAGUAAGUUAAUACCUUGCUGUUUUGACGUUACCAACAGAAGAAGCACCGGCUAACUUCGUG